UACGUAGGGGGCAAGCGUUGUCCGGAAUCAUUGGGCGUAAAGCGCGUGUAGGCGGCUCGAUAAGUCUGCUGUGAAAGGCCAGGGCUCAACCCUGGGAUGCCGGUGGAUACUGUCGAGCUCGAGUCCGGAAGAGGCGAGUGGAAUUCCUGGUGUAGCGGUGAAAUGCGCAGAUAUCAGGAGGAACACCAAUGGCGAAGGCAGCUCGCUGGGACGUGACUGACGCUGAGACGCGAAAGCGUGGGGAGCAAACAGG
rnacentral:rRNA from 1 species